GGGGUAGUAGCUCAACUGGAUAGAGCACAUUACUGUGAAACUUUAAAAUUAUCUCCAUAAGGUCAAUUAAGGUUUACUCCUUUGGGAUAAUGAGGCUGUUGGUUCGAGUCCAACCUACUCCA
rnacentral:tRNA from 1 species